GCGGAGGAAAAGAAACCAACAGGGAUUGCCCUAGUAACGGCGAGUGAAGCGGCAACAGCUCAAAUUUGAAAUCUGGCGUCUUUGGCGUCCGAGUUGUAAUUUGCAGAGGGCGCUUUGGCAUUGGCAGCGGUCCAAGUUCCUUGGAACAGGACGUCACAGAGGGUGAGAAUCCCGUACGUGGUCGCUAGCCUUUACCGUGUAAAGCCCCUUCGACGAGUCGAGUUGUUUGGGAAUGCAGCUCUAAAUGGGAGGUAAAUUUCUUCUAAAGCUAAAUACUGGCCAGAGACCGAUAGCGCACAAGUAGAGUGAUCGAAAGAUGAAAAGCACUUUGGAAAGAGAGUUAAAAAGCACGUGAAAUUGUUGAAAGGGAAGCGCUUGCAGCCAGACUUGCCUGUAGUUGCUCAUCCGGGUUUUUACCCGGUGCACUCUUCUACGGGCAGGCCAGCAUCAGUUUGGGCGGUUGGAUAAAGGUCUCUGUCAUGUACCUCCUCUCGGGGAGAACUUAUAGGGGAGACGACAUGCAACCAGCCCGGACUGAGGUCCGCGCAUCUGCUAGGAUGCUGGCGUAAUGGCUGUAAGCGGCCCGUCUUGAAACACGGACCAAGGAGUCUAACAUCUAUGCGAGUGUUUGGGUGUCAAGCCCGAGCGCGUAAUGAAAGUGAACGGAGGUGGGAACCUUUCGGGGUGCACCAUCGACCGAUCCUGAUGUCUUCGGAUGGAUUUGAGUAAGAGCAUAGCUGUUGGGACCCGAAAGAUGGUGAACUAUGCUUGAAUAGGGUGAAGCCAGAGGAAACUCUGGUGGAGGCUCGCAGCGGUUCUGACGUGCAAAUCGAUCGUCA
rnacentral:sRNA from 1 species